rfam:Aminobacter sp. Root100 contig_15, whole genome shotgun sequence.
CGAAUUUGUCGGGCCUACCUCCUCCCAGGUUUCCGACGAAUAGGUCAGCGCCUACCUCCUCCCAGACGCUGGCCACCAAUACGACACCCGCCGGACCUCCUCCCCCGGCGGGUGUUGUUU